CACACUCUCUCUUCUUUCUUUAGUCUCUCUAUUUAAAUAAUAAAAUAAAUAUACAAAAAGGGGGUUAGGAGAUGAAUAUAACAUAGGUUGAGGGUUGGAGGUGGGUGAUAGAGGGGAUGGAGGAGGAUGGUGAUGUGACAUUAUGGAGACAAUGAAUGAUGAAGGAGAAGAGGAUGGGUAUAACACACAGUCUAAACGGGAUACUGUUGCAACAGGAAGUUCACACAUUCGUGAAGGCUAGCUCAUCGAGGACCUUUGAAUUAGUAGUGGAGCUAAGGGGGAUUGUGUACAACAACGUUACUAUGGAGGAUUUGAGUACUUAGGAGCCCAAGAGGAAAUGAUUUUGUUUUGCUUGAAAAUGUAGAAGGGAUAACUCGAGACAGAGGGACAAAAUGUCCAAAGUGGAAGAUGUUAGUGGUUGUAACAAAUGUAACAAUUAUGGAAGAAAACACCUUGGAGAUUGCAGAUUGGUUUCAAACCUUUGUUAUCGGUGUGAAAAAACCAGAAAAUUCAUUGCGACUUCAUAAUUUUGCAGGUUUGGUACUUAAAUGGGAAAUUUGGGAAGAAACCAGGAAUGGUUUAGAUUUGGGCUUGAAGAUGGAAUAAAGAGCAAAGACUUCUACUAAAGGCGAUUCCAAGCGGGCCAUUUGGAACCAAGGUAGCUACAUGCUGAUAGUAUCAACAACCGCUUUCAUUUUGGGUUCAUCAGCUUCAACCAGAUCACUUAGAGCAUUAAGUUGUUCAUUCGUGCCGUAGCUAGCUCGCACGGAUUACGAUGAACCAGAUGGCAUGCACUUUUGCAGACCCUACUCCAAGCAGACUAAUUGGAAUAAGCAUGGUCCGCUUGCACCCCAUCACUCCACGUACUGACUUAGCUUUCAUGAGUUCCAAGCGGAUCGCUUGAAGUUCCAAACAGUCCACUUGCACUGUAUCUAUAUAACCCAUUUUCUCAUUUUUGGGGAGUUCAUGAGGACACACUACCGAAACGUUGUUGGAUUGACAGGAAACUACUCAGGAUAACUUUGGGAGUACGGGUGAAGACCUAUGGUUGAUCGUUUGGUUCUAGUUAUUGUAUUAACUAAUUUUAAAUAAGUUUUCAGAUUCAAAAAACUUAUAUUGAUUAUGGUUAUGUUGAGAUCAUAUCUUUGUACAUGUUUUAUGAUGAUGUUAGGCUAGUUUUUAUCUGAUUGUGUAAUAAAUAGGAUGAUUUUGUGA